CCACUUCAACAACGGAUCUCUUGGUUCUGGCAUCGAUGAAGAACGCAGCGAAUCGAUACGUAGUUUGAUGCAGAAUUCAGUGAAUCAUCGAAUCCUUGAACGCACAUUGCGCCCUUUGGUAUUCCAAAGGGCAUGCCUGUUCGAGCGUCAUUU
rnacentral:rRNA from 1 species